rnacentral:rRNA from 1 species
GACGAACGCUGGCGGCGUGCUUAACACAUGCAAGUCGAACGGAAAGGCCCUGCUUUUGUGGGGUGCUCGAGUGGCGAACGGGUGAGUAACACGUGAGUAACCUGCCCUUGACUUUGGGAUAACUUCAGGAAACUGGGGCUAAUACCGGAUAGGAGCUCCUGCUGCAUGGUGGGGGUUGGAAAGUUUCGGCGGUUGGGGAUGGACUCGCGGCCUAUCAGCUUGUUGGUGGGGUAGUGGCUUACCAAGGCUUUGACGGGUAGCCGGCCUGAGAGGGUGACCGGCCACAUUGGGACUGAGAUACGGCCCAGACUCCUACGGGAGGCAGCAGUGGGGAAUAUUGCACAAUGGGCGGAAGCCUGAUGCAGCAACGCCGCGUGCGGGAUGACGGCCUUCGGGUUGUAAACCGUUUUCGCCUGUGACGAAGCGUGAGUGACGGUAAUGGGUAAAGAAGCACCGGCUAACUACGUG